rnacentral:rRNA from 1 species
AUUGAACGCUGGCGGCAGGCCUAACACAUGCAAGUCGAACGGUAGCAGGAAGCGGCUUGCUGCUUCGCUGAAGAGUGGCAGGCGUGUGUGUCAUGUCUGGGACGCUGCCUGAUGAGGGGGAUAACUACUGGAAACGGUAGCUAAUACCGCAUGAUGUCGCAAGACGCAAGAGUCAGAACUUCGAGACUCUUGCGCUCGGACGUGCCCAGGUGGGAUUAGCUUGUUGGUAGGGUAACGGCUUACCAAGGCAACGAUCCCUAGCUGGUCUGAGAGGAUGACCGGCCACACUGGAACUGAGACACGGUCCAGACUCCUACGGGAGGCAGCAGUGGGGAAUAUUGCACAAUGGGCGCAAGCCUGAUGCAGCCACGCCGCGUGUAUGAAGAAGGUCUUCGGGUUGUAAAGCACUGUCAGCGGGGAGGAAGAGAGUAAAGUGAAUAUCUUCGCUUAUUGACGGUACCCGCAGAAGAAGCCACGGCUAACUACGUG